CGCCGGCAGACCUGCAGGUGUCCAAGGGCCCGGGUGAGGGUCUGGUCGAGGCGGCUGGAGUAGAGAGUGGAUGCAGCAGACGGACAGGAGACGAGACCAGGAAGCCGAGUGGACAGAGAGAGUGUGGUCAUAGCCUCCAAAAAGCAAAAGGGCUUUGAGAGAAUGAGCUGGUAGGAGAGGCUAGGCGGGAGUUUUGCCUCGUGGGGCUGGUUUUCUAUUUCGGUCUCCUGUCCAUUUGGCCCCAUCUGCUUCUCUGCCGGGAGCGGUUGGUCCUGGGCUGCGACCGUGGAGUGUGGGGCUGUGCCUCGGCGUUCUAGGCUCCAGGACUCACACUCGGGGAGCACAGAGACUCUGCGAGGUCCAGAGACCCAAGUCUGAGGCCCAGCCUGCAGGCCCCUGCUGUGCAACCCAGGGCACAUGAUGCUUCCCUUCUGGACAUCGGUUUCUUCCUGCGUGACACACAAAGUUUAGACCAAGGGUCCUACAUGCCUCCCUCAAGAAGCUGCCCCAGAGCCAGGCGUAUCACACAAAAGGAGCUGACCAGAACUUUGAGAUGUGAGGCCAGGUACUUCAUGACCUCCCCCUGCAAGAAAUGUGACAAUCGCAGUCACCUCCAGGUCCCCACAAGGACGUCGAGAUCUUCUAAGACAAUAAAGCUCAGCCCUUUGGAAGGCAAAGCUGAUCUGAGACCUUUUUCAUCUGCUAAUAAUAGUGAUACCCAAGCAAAACGUACAUCCAAUGAGCUGCAAGUUAAACGCCCCGUCCAUCACUGGAGAUUCACUUCCAUAUUUGCUAUAAAUAAGGACACUGUUUAUUGCGUCAGUUAAUGACCCCUCCUAAAGCCUCAAGGGAGAAAUUUCACUCAGGAUUUAGUCCCUGGAAAAAACUAAAACUGAAAACCAACCGCAUUUCCCCCAAGGAACUGGCAACCGUCUCCCUUGCUAAUAAGAAGAGCUCCGUAACGGAUCAAGUUUCCCUUUUUGCACAGGCUGCCAGGAAGCUCGGAGCCAAAUUCCACCCUCAUUCCCAACCACUUUGGCAGUUGCUUUCUCCUCGUUCCUGCUGUCCCGCUUCUAAUCCUACCGACUCUGCCUUGUUUGUUCUGCCUUGUAUUAAAGAUAGCCCCCUUUUUAAU
rnacentral:lncRNA from 1 species